rnacentral:lncRNA from 12 species
AACUAUGAUAUCACUUUUGACAGAAUUAAUGUGGAAUUAAUACCAUAUGUACAAGCAUUAAUAGGUAUUGACUUUGAACACUCAGUGAUCAUUUGAGGGUAAAUGAGCUCUCUUCCUUUUCUCACCUCUAAACAUACUGUCUCGGUGAAAUUUAUCUUAUGUUCAUCACAGCAGGUUCUUCUGAAUCUUGGGGGUGAAGUGGGUGUAGUAGUUUUUAUUAAUUAAACAAGUACCCUGCCUGCCUAGUACUUUGCCUGACUGGAGCUAAGAAGCAGAUAUAUCAGAUGCAGAAGCAGGUUAAGCUUGUGUUUGUGGCGUCAAAACAACAUGAUGGACCAGGAACUGGCUCCAGUGCUGGUUUGGGCACAUGUUCAUUGCUUCACUUUGGCAAAUCCCACAGUGUUUUUGUCAUUUGACUUUACAAGAAGAUAUAUGCUCCUUUCUUCACUGUCUGCCACACAGUAAAUUAAGCAUUAAUUAAAGAGGUUCUUGAAAACUGAGACCUGCACUUAACACAUGCAUAUCCAAAAAAACAAGGAAGGAAAUUCUAACAUUUAAAACCAAGAGGUAUGUCUAUCCUAUGCAGGGAUAUGAAAUUGAUUAUGAAAGAACAGGGAAAAUGAUUUAGUUUGGAGUGCUGUGACGUAAGAGAAGGGAGGGAAUAUACGAUGUCAUGGUUCAGGGGAAGUGGUGGGGGGCGGUGUAGAAGGUGCCUGGAGCAGCAGAAAUUAUCUGG